rnacentral:lncRNA from 1 species
GGUGAUCCAAAUAAUGAUACAACAACAACAUACCUAGUGUAUUCUCACAUAGUGGGGUUUGGAGGGGUAGUGUGUACGCAGACCAUACUACUACCUCGGAUGAAGUAGAGAGGUUGUUUUUGAUAGACUCUUGGCUUAGGACCGAUUACAGUAUACCAAACACAAAAGAUAAGUGCAUAUAAACUAGUACGGUACGCAAAAUAAACUAACAGUAUAACAAACACUAAAGAUAAGUAUAUAUAAACUAGUACAGUGUGCAAAAUAGCCACACGAUAAUACUACAGUCACAACACCACGAACAAGAAACUCCAGACAAAAGAACGCUCCUCUACUAUUACCGAUGCACUCCCACCUCCUAACCUUCUACCCUAAUCCGCGUCCUCCAUGCCUUUCUAUCAAAGGUCAUGUCCUCCGUAAGCAGUAACUGCUUCAUAUCAUACCUAAUCACCUCCCUCUAAUAUUUCUUUGGUCUACCUCUAUCCCGCCUAAAAUAAUCCAUAGUCAUUGCCUCACACCUCCGCACUGGAGCAUCAGAUCUCCUCCACAUUACGUGCCCGAACCAACGUAACCUCACUUCUCGCAUCUUGUCCUCCACCGAGGCAACUCCCGUCUUCUUUCAAAUAAUCUUAUUCCUCACUCUGUCUCUCCUGGUAUGUCGACACAUCCAUCGUAACAUUCUCAUCUCCGCCACCUUCAACUUGUGGAUGUGGGAGUUCUUAACUGGCCAAAACUCCACUCCAUACAACAUAUCCAGUUGGACUACCACUCUAUAGAACUUACCUUUAAGCUUCGGGGGCACCUUCUUAUCACAUAAAACUCUUGAAGCAGCUCUCAAAUUGGGCCUUCGGUGAUCCAAAUAAUGAGGCCGGUCUCAAAUUGAGAGGGAACAAUAUAUGGAUUUGGACCUAACUAACAUGAAUGCCAAAAAAAGGAAUUGUAGGACACCCUUCAAAUGGUGAAGAGAAUAGAGUGGCAAGCAAAUCAGUCAAUUUGGCGAACCUCAAAGAUAUCCUCUUAAGUUUCACUAAGGCGUAGAAGGAACUGAUAAGCAGAUGGAGACGCUGAAGAAGAAGAUGGAUGAGCUAGAAAACUGCUUAGUCUAGAAUACCUCUAAUGUCUCUAGGGGAAGCCAGCGUGGAACAUAUAAUACUGAGAAUGACAUAAAGAUGGAUAAACACAUCGAGGAGACAGAGGAAGAUGAGGUUAAGGCAGAGCCAGAAAUCCUGUCAAUGAUAGUGAAGAUAUUGAGAAAGGAGAUGAAGUUUCAUUAAUCGGAGCUUAAAUCCUAGAUAAACCACUCUUUGAAAAUUUCUGGGAAAUGCCUG